GGCCACCUGCAGCCACUUCUGCAUCUCAGAGGACGGCCGCCGUGGGGCAAGCAGAGAAAUGCACACACGCUCGGGCGAGUUUUAAAUAAAACCUGGCCCAAGAAGAGUGGCUGGACCGUGGUAUGUGUGCUGCGACCGGUGAAGAUGAAGGUUCAGAGAGGACGCACUAAUUUCCCAGGGCGGGAAUUCUCCUGCCACACGGCUGCAGUGUCCUCGCUUUAGUUAGAUCUAAGUGUUUGCAAGUGUCAAAAGGAACUAACAACUUCUACACAGGGAAUUAAAAACAAAAUGUUUUCAGGCAGUUCCACAAAUAAGAAAAGCUGAAUUUAGCGUUUACAUAUGUAGAUGGUAAAGAUUUCAGCAACACGUGGAUCUUUUUCAUAAAGCUGGUGAAGAUGUUCUCUGUGUCAAGUUUUAAGUCUUAAAAGGGUGGUGAUGAGAUGAGCAGUUUCAUAGGCGCCCCCAGAACUUGCUGGAGGGCCAAGUCCAGAGUGGGUGGAGUUGACACACAUUCUCUGGAGGGCAGGGGUGGGGGCCGCGGGGAGCUGAGACUGUAAAACAAAACCGAGGGUAACUUUCCCCCUCAGAGGGACAUGUGGGCGGCAGUGAAGACAGACUGGCUGCAGGGAAUCCUCAGGGAAGCAGAGUCCCGCCUGCCCGCCCUCCGCAGGCCCAGAGGGAACAGCCCGUCAAGCAGUUACGAUGACGAUUUCAUUUAUUUUCCUCCUCCUUUUCCCCGAGAGGCAAACGGGCUGAUAAAACCUGGGGCAAGCCUGAACGUUCCUGUCUCGUCUGCUCUGCUAAACCAGUGUGUUCACGAUCUCGGAGGACCGGGAGGCUGUUCCAGGCCUGAUGGCAGUGGACUAGGGUCUCCAGGGGCUCUGGGGCAGGCUCUGGGGGCCCUGCCCGAGCUGGGUGCUGGCCUGCGUGCAGCUCUGCAGCCCGCUGCUCAGGGGCGGCCAGCUGCAGGGUAUGUGCGUGCCCGCAGGGGACGCCAUCCUGGCCACCACACUAGGGCGUCUGGGGGGCAGCUGGGCCCCAGGUAUGGGCCCCCCUGCCUUCCUAACCCAGCUUGGUGCCAGCCCUGUGCCCCCCAGGGACCCACUCCCAGUCACAAUGACGGGAGGCCUGUGGACACCAGGGCAGUGAGUUGGUACGGGCAACCAAGCAGCUCGUCUACCCCAACACGGAGCCCAGAAGCUGCUUUCUCAGCUGGCUUUCGCUUCGCCCCUUGA
rnacentral:lncRNA from 1 species